UUGUUUUUAGAGAAAUAAAAAGAAUGAAUUGAGUCUCGAUUGAAAAAAUGACAAAUAUAUUCAUGUAUUAAAUUUUACUCCCUCCGUUUGGAAUUACUUGUUUUAGAUUUGUCUAGAUAUGGAUAUAUCUAGCACUAAAAUGAGUCUAGAUACACCCGUAUCUAGACAAAUUCAAGAUAAGUAAUUUAGAACGGAGAAAGUAGAAAACAUAGAUAAAAAAAAGAGAUACGACAGAGGAGCCGCCCCCUCACACCGUCACCUACCUUCCCACCGCCCCUCACAUUUCUCCCCGUCGUUCCCCAUUCUUCCUUGGUCGCCAGCUCCCUCUCUCCACCCCACCCCUCCCCUUCGUCCCCACCGCCAGCAAGAAGUUCGCAUCCCCUUUUCGUCGAAUCCGGUCGCCCAAGUGGGUGAGGAGGUCCCCCAGCUCGGCAUGCUCGCGAGCAUCCCAGCGUUAGGCUCCGUCGGAUGCGCGAGACUUCCACGCCCAUGCUCUUCCAAGCCAUUCUUCGAAUCCGUUUGCCGAAGUGCCCAAGGAGGCGCUCGAGCUCGGCGUAUUCACAGGCGACCCAGCGCGAGGCGGGCGCGGAGGCCCGCAACAAGCUAACAAGGAGCGGGCGUGGGUGCACAAGAAUAUCUGGGCACAGUUCGAUGCCUCCACUGGUGUGCCUCUGUGUGAUGUGCUAUUCAAAAUCCCUCUACAUAUUUCCCCCUUCUUAAAUUGUGUUAUUCAAGAUACAAUGGCACUCGAUAAUGCUUGCUAAGAAGGUCUGCAAUAUGAACUGGACUGUUGCUUGCCAGAUGACUGGAAGAUGGGUACUUCAUCCUCUCUUUUUUUGUCAAGCAAGAUAAAUAAGGUUCAUGCAUUGUAAUGAGAACUGCAGAUUUAGCUAAACUCAACUGAUGGUGUAAUAUAUCUUCCUAUGAGCAGCAAUAAUGAUAUAUUCUUAGGAGUAAUAAGGCGUUGCUGCAUAAAUAUACUUGACUUUCAAAUGAGUGUGUCAAGAGGUUUAAUUAGCAUCGAUCCCUACUCUAAUUAUAGCUGGAUAUCUCACUCAUGUACUAUUUGAAACUUAUCAAUUAGAUCUUCAGAAUAACAGAAAUUUGCUAGAUAAGCUAACGUUAGAAGGGGAAGUAAACAUUAAACAUUUCAGAUAGUGAAGGUGAAUAUCUGAUAUGUCAUCAUUGUGUGUUUCCUGCUGUAGAUAAAUUUGCUUGCAGGGCUCUUGAUGAGAUAUCCACUUUCAUCAAAUGCUUAAGGGUAUGGUCACUUGGAGAAGACAUAGCUAUGACUACAAAGAUCUGUUUUUUCAGGUAUGCAUUGUACAAGAUGGAUUUCCUCUUAACCGAUUGGAAGCAUACUGCAACAUGGAUGCACACAAGGGCUAGCCUAAGCAUGCAGGUAGAUGGAUUAUAGACGUCUUGUUAAUGCUGGUGCAAGGAUGCAAUAUCCAUGAACGAGCGCAACGUCGGUGGAUCUGUAUGUUUGAGUUCAGAAUUUUGAAAGAAAGGGGAUAUGGGAAACAAGAAGAAGGGAGCUCUACCUUGGCU